UCCAUUUUGAUAUCAGGUUCAUAAGCAAGGUGUUGCACUUGGAAGAUCUGUUGACUUGACAAAGUUUGAUGGUUAUGACCAAUUGAUCGAGGAGUUAGAUCAGCUAUUUGAAUUCAAAGGAGAAUUGAUGGCUCCAAAUAAAAAUUGGAUGAUUGUAUUUACUGAUAAUGAGGAUGAUAUGAUGCUUGUUGGAGAUGACCCUUGGCAGGAAUUUUGUGCUAUGGUCCGUCAGAUUUUUAUAUACACAAAAGAGGAGGUCCAGAAGAUGGAUUCAAGUACCUUGAACCCAAAAAAUGAAGAUUGUCCUGAUAUGAAAGAGAAUGUCAAGGAAACAAAAGGCAGUCAAUCUGCAUCAUCAUCUAAUUCAAAAAACUCAUAGGCUUAUCCUGCAAUGAUCUUGAAGCACAAACAAAGUGAUUGUUUGUGCUUUAUCUAAGUGAUUGUUUGAACAGUUUUAUAGCAUGCAUCUUGACAAUUAAUAUAAUUUUGAAGAUCACGAUCAAGGAAGAAUGUUCAAAGGAAAGUAAAGGCUAAGGAGAAGAUCACGUAAUUAACUACACGGGUCUAGUGAAAAUACUGAAGAAGUAUGACAAGAGAACAGGAGCACUUAUCAGGCAGCCC